rnacentral:rRNA from 1 species
AGCGAACGCUGGCGGCAUGCUUAACACAUGCAAGUCGCACGGGCAGGGGUAACUCUGUCAGUGGCGGACGGGUGAGUAACGCGUAGGUAUCUAUCUCUGGGUGGGGGACAACUGUGGGAAACUACAGCUAAUACCGCAUGACACCUGAGGGUCAAAGGCGCAAGUCGCCUGGAGAGGAGCCUGCGUACGAUUAGCUAGUUGGUGGGGUAAAGGCCUACCAAGGCGACGAUCGUUAGCUGGUCUGAGAGGAUGAUCAGCCACAUUGGGACUGAGACACGGCCCAAACUCCUACGGGAGGCA